GAGGGUGUAGCUCAGCUGGUAGAGCAGCGGCCUUUUAAGCCGUUGGCCGAGAGUUCGAUUCUCUCCACCCUCA
rnacentral:tRNA from 2 species